UCAUCAGUCAGGCUAGUGGUUAUACUCCAGGACUUAUCUGGUCCUGGAUAUAACCACUGCCAGACUGAAUG
rfam:Mus musculus chromosome 7, GRC primary reference assembly.